ensembl:lncRNA
AUGGAGACGUGUGUGUGUGUGUGUCUAUACGUGUGUGUGCGCCCAAAGCUAACCCGCCGCGACCGACCGCAGCUCCGCAGGAGCAACACACCCAGUGUUACGGCUGAAACCCGUCUCACGGCGAGUGAGGAAACUAAAGCCGCUUUCGCACUUGGACGCCGCAAUGAUGCCAUGUUCAAUUAUCCAGCUCUCCUCCACUCCCCCUCACUCUUCAUGCAGAUGAGCAGUCGGCCAGGUGCAACACAGGGGAAGUUAGCGCCUCCUCAGCACAGCGACACACUAUUUGCAUGCAAAACGCCGGGCUUAGGCUGCAAAAUGUGUGAACACAGCUGCACAGCCCCCACAGCGCGAGGCCAGGCCAGGAGCACAGCUGGCCAGACUUGGUGGAGCCAGUCGACAGGCGCAUGGAGCGCAGCCCGCCCAGGGCCCGCUUCCUUCGCAAACAUGCCCAGGUGUGGGGCCUCUGAGCUGGGCUUCUGA